rnacentral:tRNA from 1 species
CGGGACCGCGAGAAGGGACAGCUCCGGGCGCUGGACGUCCGGGCGGCGCCCUCCCGCGGGUCGCCCGCUCCUGCCCUCGGUCCUCGGGGUCUUCCCUCUUCUUCCCUUCGCUUCGGUGGGGAGUCCCGGAAUCCCCCGGAAUCCGGCGCCUUCUUUGGCAUCCCUUGUGCAGCGCUUUUGGAACUUGGUGAACUUGUUCCCUUGGUUCUGGGGGCGGAAUCCAGGGGGGCGCCACCACUGAGGGACAUCCCAGACCUUUCAAUUUUUUUCUUUUUAUUUUAAGAAGCCUGGCUAAAGUACCCGGCCUGGUCUCGAACUUGCGAUCCUCCUGGAAUUACAGGCGUGCGCCACCGCGCCCCGGGGCGGGGGACUCGUUCUUCAUCUCACCUGCCUCGGUUUCCCUUCCUUGCGCCGUGUGGAGCCUGGAAGAGCUCAUGAUGGGAAGUUCACAGGUACCACCUGCCCGGCUCGGAGUUAGACUCUCUGAAGGUUAAGCACCGUUACUGUCUCAGGCGGAGGUCCAGGAAUGAGUCUGAAGGUUUCUCCACUCUCCUUUCACUCCGGGCACCGACACGCGCGCACACACACACACACACACACACACGUCACAAAAAAUCAGCCCCAUGUUUUGGACCCACCCCUGAAAAUCACACCAAAAAAACAAAAAACUGCCUCUAUUUCCAGCCUCAGUUUCCCCAUCUGGAAGUCGAGGGCUGGUGGGCUGGGAGGCUCUUGGGAGGAAGAGGGAGGAGGCCAGAGGGGUCCCAGCUCCAUCGUGUGUGUUGAAAGGCGUAUUUUAAAAAUUGAAGAAAUUCCAAAGCUGGGUCAGAACGUAUUGUAGCACAUUUAAAAUGUAGUGGGUUGAUGUUAUUUGAACAAACUCAAGCACACAAGGUAACUGAUUUAUGCUGCUGACAAGAGAAUUAGAACACCUUUUUAAGAAAUACGAUUAUUGAGGCUGGGGUUGUGGCUCAGCGAUAGAGCGCACGUCUAGCACAUGUGAGGCCCUGGGUUUGAUCCUCAGCACCACAUAAAAAUAAGUAAAUAAAAAUAAAGGUAUUGUGUCCAACUACUUGUAAAAAAUAAAUAUUUUUAAAAAAUCUUUAAAACAAAAAAGAAAAGAAAUACGAUUUAUUGCAUAAUAGUGUGGUCUGGCCGGGACACUGUGUUUAAAUUUUCUGAUGAGCAUCUCUUUUUAAUCCUUGAGGAGCUUUGGUGGGCGGGCCUCACUGGGUCGAAACUAGAAAUCCUGGGGGGAUUUGAGACCCCCCUCCAAAGGGUCAUCCCACCUUGCAGGCCCUGAGCUUGCUCAGUUAGUCUGGGGUCUCAUUUGCCAGGUCCCUUUUAAUUGCAUGGACUCUCGCGUUCCCCAAGUGAGAUUCUUUGGGUCUGAAGAGGUACAGGAAGGUGUGAAUUUG